rnacentral:lncRNA from 1 species
GCCGUGUGCAUUUUUUGCAUGUUGAUUUGUGAGUGUGUGUGUGUGUGUGUGUGUUGGGGUCUAUCAGGUGUCAGUCCCGGUGUUGCCCCAGGCCAGGCGGGGUGACCGCUGGUCUUGGGACCCGGAUGAGGAGCGAAAGCGUCAGGAAAGGUGGCAGCAAGAGCAGGAGCGCAUGCUGCAGGAGAAGUACCAGCGCGAGCAGGAGAAGCUGAAGGAGGAGUGGGAGAAAGCACAGAGGGAGGUGGCGGAGGAGGAGAGGAAGUACCACGAGGAGGUGUGUGCAUGUUUAUGCUUGAGGGCACAUGUUGCACCCGUGAUGUGUUUUUUUGGUGUAA